UACGUAGGGGGCAAGCGUUGCCCGGAUUUAUUGGGCGUAAAGAGCGUGUAGGCGGCUCGGUAUGUCUGCUGUGAAAACUCGAGGCUUAACCUCGAGCUGUCGGCGGAAACCAUCUGGCUAGAGUCCGGAAGAGGAGAAUGGAAUUCCCGGUGUAGCGGUGAAAUGCGCAGAUAUCGGGAGGAACACCAAUGGCGAAGGCAGCUCGCUGGGACGGUACUGACGCUGAGACGCGAAAGCGUGGGGAGCAAACAGG
rnacentral:rRNA from 1 species